GGGGCCAUAGUUUAACUGGCUAAAAUACUUCGGGUUGGUACCGAGAGAUACGGGUUCAACUCCCGUUGGCUCCACCA
rnacentral:tRNA from 1 species